UACAGAGGGUGCGAGCGUUGUCCGGAAUUACUGGGCGUAAAGCGCGUGUAGGCGGUCCGGUAAGUCCGCUGUGAAAGUCGGGGGCUCAACCCUCGGAUGCCGGUGGAUACUGGAUGGCUUGAGUUUGGGAGAGGGAUGCGGAAUUCCAGGUGUAGCGGUGAAAUGCGUAGAUAUCUGGAGGAACACCGAUGGCGAAGGCAGCCUUCUGGGCCAACACUGACGCUCAUGCACGAAAGCGUGGGGAGCAAACAGG
rnacentral:rRNA from 1 species